CGAUGUUGUCGGCGAGGAAACCCGCUGAACUUAAGCAUAUCACUAAGCGGAGGAAAAGAAACCAAUUUGGAUGCCCCCAGUAACGGCGAGUGAAAAGGGCUGAACCCAAACGUGAAAACGUGAUGUGUAUCACGUGUUGUCGUGUGUCGAGUGUCGAAUGACGUCGAUUGCUGUUCUCGACGAAAUGACCGUGGAGUCGGCUGCCAUUUGUGGGUUACAGCCCUGAUCGAGUUCCGCUUUCUUCGUCAGUUGACGCUCGGAAGAGUCGAACUGUUUGAUAUCGCAGUUCUAAUGGGUGGUGAGCGCCAUCCAAGGUUAAAUAUAAACGGGAAUCCGAUAGCGAAAAAGUACCGUGAGGGAAAGCUGAAAAGGACUUUGGAAAGAGAGUGAAAAGUACCCGAAACUGCGCAUGUGGAACCGCUUUCGACGACAUCUCGGAUGUGUAUUCGUUGAUUGGUCUGUUAGAUCACUCUUGGCGUCGCCUUCUGUGAUCUUCUGACGGUCUUCGAACUUUGUCGCAAGC
rnacentral:rRNA from 1 species